rnacentral:rRNA from 1 species
UACGUAGGGUGCAAGCGUUGUCCGGAAUUAUUGGCGUAAAGAGCUCGUAGGCGGUUCGUCGCGUCGGCUGUGAAAACCUGAGGCUCAACCUCAGGCCUGCAGUCGAUACGGGCGGACUUGAGUACUGCAGGGGAGACUGGAAUUCCUGGUGUAGCGGUGAAAUGCGCAGAGUAUCAGGAGGAACACCGGUGGCGAAGGCGGGUCUCUGGGCAGUAACUGACGCUGAGGAGCGAAAGCGUGGGGAGCGAACAGGAU